rnacentral:sRNA from 1 species
UAUUGCGCAGCAUCGUGUGGGUGAGACCCUGCGUUCAGGUUCGAGCCGAGCGCAGCGAGACAGCAACGCGCAGCGUUGACCCGAAGGGCGAGUCCGCAGGACGAGUCAUCCCGCACGACCCACCA